rnacentral:rRNA from 1 species
GCCAGACUCCUACGGGAGGCAGCAGUGGGGAAUAUUGGGCAAUGGGCGCAAGCCUGACCCAGCAACGCCGCGUGAAGGAAGAAGGCUUUCGGGUUGUAAACUUCUUUUGUCAGGGACGAAGCAAGUGACGGUACCUGACUAAGAAGCCCCGGCUAACUACGUGCCAGCAGCCGCGGUAAUACGUAGGGGGCAAGCGUUAUCCGGAUUCACUGGGUGUAAAGGGAGCGUAGACGGCCAUGCAAGCCUGGAGUGAAAGCCCGGGGCCCAACCCCGGGACUGCUCUGGGAACUGUGCGGCUGGAGUGCGGGAGGGGCAGGCGGAAUUCCUGGUGUAGCGGUGAAAUGCGUAGAUAUCAGGAGGAACACCGGCGGCGAAGGCGGCCUGCUGGACCGCGACUGACGUUGAGGCUCGAAAGCGUGGGGAGCAAACAGGAUUAGAUACCCGCGUA